UAGUGGCAGACGGGUGAGUAAUGCAUAGGAAUCUACCUAGUAGUAUGGGAUAGCCACUAGAAAUGGUGGGUAAUACUGUAUAAUCCCUGCGGGGGAAAGAUUUAUCGCUAUUAGAUGAGCCUAUGUUAGAUUAGCUAGUUGGUAGGGUAAAGGCCUACCAAGGCAGUGAUCUAUAGCUGGUCUGAGAGGAUGAUCAGCCACACUGGAACUGAGAUACGGUCCAGACUCCUACGGGAGGCAGCAGUGGGGAAUAUUGGACAAUGGGCGCAAGCCUGAUCCAGCUAUGCCGCGUGAGUGAGGAAGGCCUUAGGGUUGUAAAACUCUUUCAGUGGGGAAGAUAAUGACGGUACCCACAGAAGAAGUCCCGGCAAACUCCGUGCCAGCAGCCGCGGUAAUACGGAGGGGGCAAGCGUUGUUCGGAAUUAUUGGGCGUAAAGGGCAUGUAGGCGGUUCGGUAAGUUAAAG
rnacentral:rRNA from 1 species